rnacentral:rRNA from 1 species
AAGCAUAUCAAUAAGCGGAGGAAAAGAAACCAACCGGGAUUGCCUCAGUAACGGCGAGUGAAGCGGCAAGAGCUCAAAUUUGAAAUCUGGCCCCUCCGGGGUCCGAGUUGUAAUUUGCAGAGGAUGCUUCGGGUGCGGCCCCUGUCUAAGUGCCCUGGAACGGGCCGUCAGAGAGGGUGAGAAUCCCGUCUUGGGCAGGGUGCCCGUGCCCGUGUGAAGCUCCUUCGACGAGUCGAGUUGUUUGGGAAUGCAGCUCUAAAUGGGUGGUAAAUUUCAUCUAAAGCUAAAUACCGGCCGGAGACCGAUAGCGCACAAGUAGAGUGAUCGAAAGAUGAAAAGCACUUUGAAAAGAGAGUUAAACAGCACGUGAAAUUGUUGAAAGGGAAGCGCUUGCGACCAGACUCGCCCCCGGGGUUCAGCCAGCACUCGUGCUGGUGUACUUCCCCGGGGUCGGGCCAGCGUCGGUUCGGGCGGCCGGUCAAAGGCCCCAGGAAUGUAUCGCCCUCCGGGGCGUCUUAUAGCCUGGGGUGCAAUGCGGCCAGCCCGGACCGAGGAACGCGCUUCGGCACGGACGCUGGCGUAAUGGUCGCAAACGACCCGUCUUGAAACACGGACCAAGGAGUCUAACAUCUACGCGAGUGUUCGGGUGUCAAACCCGUACGCGCAGUGAAAGCGAACGGAGGUGGGAGCCCCCCCGGGGCGCACCAUCGACCGAUCCUGAUGUCUUCGGAUGGAUUUGAGUAGGAGCGUAGCUGUGGGGACCCGAAAGAUGGUGAACUAUGCCUGAAUAGGGCGAAGCCAGAGGAAACUCUGGUGGAGGCUCGCAGCGGUUCUGACGUGCAAAUCGAUCGUCAAAUUUGGGUAUAGGGGCGAAAGACUAAUCGAACCAUCUGGUAGCUGGUUCUGCGAGGCUCUCCUCUCUAGAGA